rnacentral:rRNA from 1 species
ACCCGCUGAACUUAAGCAUAUUAUUAAGCGGAGGAAAAGAAACUAACAAGGAUUCCCCUAGUAACGGCGAGUGAAGCGGGAAGAGCUCAAAUUGAAAAUCGGCAGUACAAACGGUCUGCCGAGUUGUAAUCUAUAGACGUAUGGUCUGCGCGCGACCUAGGUAUAAGUCCUUUGGAACAGGGCAUUAAGAGGGUGAGAAUCCCGUUUAUGACCUGGAGUUCGCCGCGUACGAUAUGCGUUCGACGAGUCGUGUUGCCUGGGAUCGCAGCACUAAAUGGGUGGUAAAUCUCAUCUAAAGCUAAAUAUUGGCGAGAGACCGAUAGCGAACAAGUAGCGUGAGCGAAAGAUGAAAAGAACUUUGAAAAGAGAGUUAAACAGUACUUGAAACUGCUAAGAAGGAAGUUAAGAAAACCAGUCUAUCUCGAAGUAUAUUUACCAUUCGUUUUAUCGCGAAUGGGUCCUGUACUUCUUGCUGUGUCAGCAUCAAUUUUUACUGCGGCAGAAGCCCUUUGGAAGGUAGCUCCUUUUUGAGUGUUAUAUCCUUUGUGGUUUACCGUGUUUUAGAUUGUGGUUCGAUAAGUUACUUUAAGGUUCUUGUUCCUGCUUUUGUGCGUUUUUUGGAUAGCAAAGCUAUGCUUCUUUCGUAUACGAGUACGUGAAUCAGGUUCACUAUUUGUUUCUUCGCGAUGUUGACGAAAUGGUUUUCUUUGUCCCGUCUUGAAACACGGACCAAGGAGUCUAAGAUAUAUGCGAGUAUUUGGGUGCAAAACCCUGAUGCGUAAUGAAAGUAAAGGCGUUUAUUCGCUGAGGUAGGAAACUUCCCUUCGGGGUUGUGGCACUAUCGACCGAUCGCCACUUGUGGUAGAUUUGAGUAAGAGCAUAUCUCUUGGGACCCGAAAGAUGGUGAUCUAUGCCUGAACAGGGUGAAGCCAGGGGAAACUCUGGUGGAAGCUCGUAGCGAUACUGACGUGCAAAUCGUUCGUCUGAUUUGGGUAUAGGGGCGAAAGACUAAUCGAACCAUCUAGUAGCUGGUUCCCUCCGAAGUUUCCCUCAGGAAAGG